rnacentral:rRNA from 1 species
GGGCCCGCACAAGCGGCGGAGCAUGCGGAUUAAUUCGAUGCAACGCGAAGAACCUUACCAAGGCUUGACAUAUACCGGAAAAGUUCAGAAAUGUUCUCCCCGCAAGGUCGGUAUACAGGUGGUGCAUGGUUGUCGUCAGCUCGUGUCGUGAGAUGUUGGGUUAAGUCCCGCAACGAGCGCAACCCUCGUUCUAUGUUGCCAGCACGUAAUGGUGGGAACUCAUAGGAGACUGCCGGGGUCAACUCGGAGGAAGGUGGGGAUGACGUCAAAUCAUCAUGCCCCUUAUGUCUUGGGCUUCACGCAUGCUACAAUGGCCGAUACAAAGGGCUGCAAUACCGCGAGGUGGAGCGAAUCCCAAAAAGUCGGUCUCAGUUCGGAUUGAGGUCUGCAACUCGACCUCAUGAAGUCGGAGUCGCUAGUAAUCGCAGAUCAGCAACGCUGCGGUGAAUACGUUCCCGGGCCUU